AACGGCUCACCAAGCCGACGAUGAGUAGCCGACCUGAGAGGGUGAUCGGCCACAUUGGGACUGAGACACGGCCCAGACUCCUACGGGAGGCAGCAGUGGGGAAUAUUGCGCAAUGGGGGCAACCCUGACGCAGCAACGCCGCGUGAGCGAUGAAGGUUUUCGGAUCGUAAAGCUCUGUUCUGAGGGAAGAUAAUGACGGUACCUCAGGAGAAAGCCCCGGCUAACUAC
rnacentral:rRNA from 1 species